GAUGAACGCUGGCGGCGUGCCUAAUACAUGCAAGUCGAGCGAACGGACGAGAAGCUUGCUUCUCUGAUGUUAGCGGCGGACGGGUGUGUAACACGUGUAUAACCUACCUAUAAGACGGGUAUAACCUCGGGAAACCGGAGCUUAUACCGGAGAAUCUCUUGCACCGCAGGGUUCAAUAGUGAAAGUCGGUCUUGCUGGCACUUAUAGAGGCAUCUGCGCUGCAUUAGCUAGUUGGUAAGGUAACGGCCUGCCAAGGCAACGAUGCAUAGCCGACCUGAGAGGGUGAUCGGCCACACUGGAACUGAGACGCGGUCCAGGCUCCUGCGGGGGGCAGCAGUAGGGAAUCUUCCGCAAUGGGCGAAAGCCUGACGGAGCAACGCCGCGUGAGUGAUGAAGGUCUUCGGAUCGUAAAACUCUGUUAUUAGGGAAGAACAUAUGUGUAAGUAACUGUGCACAUCUUGACGGUACCUAAUCAGAAAGCCACGGCUAACUACGUG
rnacentral:rRNA from 1 species